rnacentral:rRNA from 1 species
AGCAGUAGCCACGGUAAUACGAAGGGUGCAAGCGUUAAUCGGAAUUACUGGGCGUAAAGCGUGCGUAGGCGGUUUGUUAAGUCUGCUGUGAAAUCCCCGGGCUCAACCUGGGAAUGGCAGUGGAUACUGGCAAGCUAGAGUGUGUCAGAGGAUGGUGGAAUUCCCGGUGUAGCGGUGAAAUGCGUAGAGAUCGGGAGGAACAUCAGUGGCGAAGGCGGCCAUCUGGGACAACACUGACGCUGAGGCACGAAAGCGUGGGGAGCAAACAGGAUUAGAUACCCGCGUAGUCCCUGUCUCUUAUAC